UUACUUUCCCUCUAACCCAUAUUUCCUUCGUGCAGCAAGAAUUUUAAUGUGAACAAAUGGCUCAUAAAACAUCAAAGCCGUCAUGCAGCUUUAAAAAAGAGAAAUUCACCAUUAAUAAAAUACCAUUUCAACAGUUUCUUUCGAAAUCCACUCUCUUCAGAUUUUUCAAGUUUGGCAGUAACUGUAAUGGAAAUGCAGACCAUUCGUUUUCCGGUGCAACAUGCGAUCUAAAGAGGAAAGUAGACCAAAAUGAAAGUCAGUGGUAUGGAAUUUUGAUGUCUCAGCUAUUUGAUUCAGGAUACAGUUUUUUGCAGUCUGAAUUUGAUAACAAAACAUCAACAUGUUCUGAUGAACAUAUGACAG
rnacentral:lncRNA from 1 species